UACGUAGGGUGCAAGCGUUAAUCGGAAUUACUGGGCGUAAAGCGUGCGCAGGCGGUUUUGUAAGACAGAGGUGAAAUCCCCGGGCUCAACCUGGGAACUGCCUUUGUGACUUCAAGGCUUGAGUGCGGCAGAGGGGGAUGGAAUUCCGCGUGUAGCAGUGAAAUGCGUAGAUAUGCGGAGGAACACCGAUGGCGAAGGCAAUCCCCUGGGCCUGCACUGACGCUCAUGCACGAAAGCGUGGGGAGCAAACAGG
rnacentral:rRNA from 1 species